GACCAGGUAGCUCAGUGGUCAAAGCACCUGGAAUGUUAUCAGGAGGUCCUGGGUUCAAACCCCAGUCUGGUCA